UUUCCUCCACUGCAGAUCCCUAAACAAUUAGGUCACUUUGUUCUCAGUCUAUUAGUAUAGUGGUUUGAUGGACUCAAGAACUUCCUCUAUGAAGCAAAGCCUGAGAUGGAAGGAACAGGCAUUCUUAUGAGCCCUCUCUUUAUCCAUGGCUCGUCUGGUGCUUGCACUAUGAAAAGUACCCACUUCAGAGAAAGAGGAAAUGAAAGGACAUAAUUACUUCCAGAAAUACACACCUUUGUAUGUGAGCCGAAAAACCUCCAUCAUUUCCUUUGUUCUUUGCACCCUGACUUUUCUCCAUGAUUCUCUUAGACUCCACGAAGAAGCCCUGUAAUGAGAACAAAUUGAUCCAUCUCUCCUGUGACUAUCUUUCCCUGCAAAGAAUCCCUCUGCUCACACGGAGCCCUUUCCAAUAAUCCAAGCAGGUUUAGAGGAGGAGGAAUGAGACGGUUCAUUGGGUAAAGGCACUUGCCACCAAGCCUGACCAUCUACGUGGGAUCCCUGAGACCCAAACAACUGUAAGAGAAAACUGAUGCUGGAACAUUAUCCUCUAACCUGCACAGACCAUGCCUUGGUCUGUACCAAUGGUUCUCGUUAAUUGGAUGCUACUAAGAUUAAGUCAAGGAAUCACAGUGAAGAUGCUGCGUUUCCUCAAAGGAGAUGUGAAGGGUCAGACAUAAGACAGUUUCCUUGCUAACUCCACGCUGAGACGCAGCCGGCAUUUCGAUGCUUUAUGUAGAUGAGUUUCAGGCCUAACACUCACUUUCAUUAGAGUUCAUAGGCACAAGUUGAAUUAGAAACAACUUGCUUUCAUUAAAUCUUGCAUCAUUGAAUAUAACUCUUCUGUGGUCUAUUUAUCCUAUUUUCAACUUGCAGUCUUUAAUAACCCCAUAAUAGAAAUUAAGCCUUAGUGUGUGAUAACAUUUCCUAUCGUGGCUGAUGCCAAACACAAUUCUUCAUCACUCAUUCUGCCUGUUCCCCUUCAUAGUCAGUCAUUCUUUACUAACACUGGGGCUAAUCAGUUGAUGACAUAAUAAUAUGCUACUUCAGAUGAUAUGAUAUUGAGAUAACCUUGGGAAGUACUAAAACAUUUGGUAUAUGAAAUUAGCAUCUCCUUAAAAAUUGGGAAAUUAUAACUAUUAAUAUUUCAGUAUUCUUAACUAUAUGUCUUUAUUUCAAAGUGCUUUGAAAUCUCAAAUAAAAUAAUCUAUUCUUUGGCUAGCAAAAUGGCUCUGUAAAUAACUUGCUGCCAAGCUUGAUGGUCAGGGUACAGUCCCCAGGAGCCAGGUGGUAUGAGAAACCACCAAUUCUGACAAGGUGUCCUGUGGCCACACAUUCACACACACACACACACACACACACACACACACACACACACACACACACACGGGGGAGUGGAGCGCAAGCAUGGGCUGGACCUACCCCCCUUUGCUCAUAUGUGGCAGAUGCGUAGCUUGGUCUCUUCAUGCGUGUCACCCAUCAACUAGAGUCUGGGCUGUCCCUGACUCUGCUGUCUGCCUGUGGACCCUGUCCCCUAACUGGUCUGCCUUGUUGGGCUUCAGUAGGGGAGGAUGCACCUAGCAUUGUGGUGACUUGAUGUUCUGGAGUAAGGGGUGAUACCCAGAGCAGGGUUCUCCCU